UACGGAGGAUGCAAGCGUUAUCCGGAAUCAUUGGGCGUAAAGCGUCCGUAGGUGGCUUUUCAAGUCUGCCGUCAAAGUCCGGGGCUUAACCCCAGAAAGGCGGUGGAAACUGAAUAGCUAGAGUGCAGUAGGGGUAGAGGGAAUUCCCGGUGUAGCGGUGAAAUGCGUAGAGAUCGGGAAGAACACCCGUGGCGAAGGCGCUCUACUGGACUGCAACUGACACUCAGGGACGAAAGCUAGGGGAGCGAAUGGG
rnacentral:rRNA from 1 species